rnacentral:lncRNA from 1 species
CAUGACCCUGCCUGCCUAACUUCCUCUUGCCACCCAUGCUGCUGACUGCAGUAGUGGGUCAGUAAGCUUUCCCUGAGUCGUCCUUGGUGGGGCUGGGCCAGACCUAAGACUGGAACCAGGGAGACAUACAAGGCACACUCCCUGCCCUGGCUGAGUUCACCCAGGCCUGAGAAAGAUAAAAGGAGAAAAGAAGCGGAAGCAGAGACAUCUGGGAGAGUCCUGAGUGAAGGUGGCCAUGUGAGAAGACAGGGGAGGGAGAGCAAGAGUGGAGCCGCCAAUCAAGACAGGCUGCCUGGGCCAAGACACUGGCCAAGAAGCCAUAAGGCCCAGGAUUCUGCACUGAAAUCUCCCCUCAAGCUCUCUGUGGCGUCAAGUAGAAGACUGAACACCAACCAAAGUGAGGCCAGGACCUGUCUGCCAGAAAGCAUGCUCCACUAAGAAAAUGUUGGGAGAAAAGACGGCUGAGCCAGCAAGGACGGACUACUCUCUAUGGAUUCUCCCUAGGCUCUGGCCUUGGGUGAGUGUCACAAUCAGCGCCUUGUAAUAAACAUUACAGCUCUCCCUCUGGGAGUCAGUCCCAGAGUGAAGACAACCCUCAGGGUCCUCCUUCCCCAGAAACUCCCCAGGGCCAUCUGUGAUCACUAGAAAUGUUACUGAGGUGU